rnacentral:tRNA from 1 species
GUGCCGGUAGCUCAAUUGGAUAGAGCACCUGACUACGGAUCAGGAGGUUGGGGGUUCGAUUCCUCCCCGGCACGCCA